GAUGAACGCUGGCGGCGUGCCUAAUACAUGCAAGUCGAGCGAACGGACGAGAAGUUUGCUUCUCUGAUGUUAGCGGCGGACGGGUGUGUAACACGUGGAUAACCUACCUAUAAGACUGGGAUAACUUCGGGAAACUGUAGCUAAUACCGGAUAAUAUUUUGAACCGCAUGGUUCAAAAGUGAAAGACGGUCUUGCUGUCACUUAUAGAUGGAUCCGCGCGGCAUUAGCUAGUUGGUAAGGUAACGGCUUACCAAGGCAACGAUGCAUAGCCGACCUGAGAGGGGGAUCGGCCACACUGGAACUGAGACACGGUCCAGACUCCUACGGGAGGCAGCAGUAGGGAAUCUUCCGCAAUGGGCGAAAGCCUGACGGAGCAACGCCGCGUGAGUGAUGAAGGUCUUCGGAUCGUAAAACUCUGUUAUUAGGGAAGAACAUAUGUGUAAGUAACUGUGCACAUCUUGACGGUACCUAAUCAGAAAGCCACGGCUAACUACGUG
rnacentral:rRNA from 1 species